UUAGGACCCAAAAGUGAUAAAAGUUAUGUUAUCAUGUGAGGAUUAUCCUGCUGGACAAAACGCCGCCAUCUGUAGAUCGUUUAACACUAUUUUCCUUGGAGACGGUUGCUAACAACUUUGCCUACAUGGGGAGGAAGAGUUGAUGAAUAAAACCACCCGAAGACUGAUAACAGUAAGUCCAUUGUUUUGUGACUAUAAUCAUAAUCUUCAUCAUGCCUCGUGGAAGAUCUGCGAUCAGUGUCCUCUCCGACAGUAGCG